GCAAAAUUGACUGAGGGGAAAUUUACCAAUAAAUGAUAGAAUCCAGAGCUGGCACAUAGGAUUCAUUUCACUAAUUCUGAUAUUUAUUAAUGGGUGCCUGGGAUGCUGUAUUGAGAAAGAUUUUGAAAUUCAGAGUCAAGGAUUAUAGUCAGCUUUCCACAUCUAUGGGUUCUGUAUCUUCAGAUCAAAAUAGGGGAAAAAAAUGGAUCUGUACUGAACACAUACAAACCCUUUUUGUUGUUAUUCCCUGAAUAACUCAAUAUAACAAUCACUUACAUGGCAUUUGCAUUGUAUUAGGUAUUACAAAUAAUCCAGAGAACAUUUAAAGUAUACAGGAGGGUGUGUAUUAUGUUACAUGCAAACAAUAUGCAUUUUGUACAAGGGACUUGAGCAUCCCUGGGUUUUGGUAUCCAAGUGGGGACAGUCGUAGAACCUACCUCCAUUGGAUACCAAGGAUGACUCUGCUCUGAUGGGUGAGGAACAUGUUUCUUGGACUCAAGGGGCAACUAUAAUGACCAUCCUGCAUCUUUCCUUUCUUUGUUGAAUGCUAGGAGUCUUAAAACCUAGUCUCAAACCUUGAAUUUAGAUCAUCCAAUGACGACUAUAGGAUAUUGUGUAUGUGAAGACUGUCUCGGGUAUUACUGUGGUGUUACUUCAACAGUUCUGGGGACCAUGGGGGGAUGAUGUAACACCACAGUGGAUGAGAUCAGAAUUGGUUACAGGCAAACUACCUUUGAAAACUAAAAUUAUACUUUACAAUAUUCUCAACCUUAAAAAGGAUUGUUGGGAUGCUUUUAGUCGUAGGAUUGCCUCAACACCACCCCAUAUGUGUCUAAUGCAUCCCUUUUAUGAUGGAAGGAAUCUUUUGCCAUCCCUUCUAUGAUGGAAGAAUGAAGCAGAAAAGAAGCUGAAUGGUUGCUACAUUAUUACUGUGCCCAUACUAUCCAAAAGAGUCUCCAGAUUCAAUGCAAUCCUUAUCAAAAUUCCAAUGACAGCUUUUACAGAAAUCAAAGAGCGAUACUAAAAAUUUACAUGAAAGCACAAAGGACCCAGAGCAGCAAAAGCAAUCAUAAGCAAAAAGAACAAAGCUGGAGGUUUAAAAAUAUAGUACAAAGCAAUAGUAAUCCAAAUGCUACGGUACUCACAUAAAAACAGACAGAUCAAUACAACAGAACAGAGAGCCCAGAAAGAAAUCCAUGCAUUUAUGGUCAAUUGAUUGUUCACAAAGAUGCCAAGAACACAGUGGAGAAAGGACAGUCUUUUCUCUAGGGUAUAUUGGGAUAACUGGAUAUCCACAUGCAGGAGAAUUAAAUGUGACCUUUAUCUCACACCAUAUAUAAAAAUCAACUCAAAAUCUAUCGCAGACUCAAAUAUAAGACCUGAAACUAUAAUGUUACUGGAAGAAACUGGAAAGAAAAAGCUCUAUGACAUCAGUCUGAACAUGGCAACCAAAGCAAAAAUGGACAAAUGAGACUUCAUCAAACUAAAAAUCUUCUGCACAGCAAAGGAAACCGUCAACAGAACUAAGGGACAAUCUAUUAAACAGGAGAAAACAUUUGCAACCCAUACGUGUGAUAAGAUGUUAAUACCCAAAAUAUACAAGGAAUACAAACGACUCAAAAGUAAGAAAAUAAAUAACCUGACUUUAAAACGGGAAAAGGAUCUAAAUAGAUAUUUCUCAAGAGAAGAUAUACAGAUGCCCAACAGGACUCAAAAAAUGCUCAAAUCACUAAUCAUCAAGGAAAUGCAGAUUAAAACCACAAUGUGAUACCAUCUGGAACCUGUCAGAAUGGCUAUUAACAAAAAGACAAAAGGCUGGUGAGGAUAGGGAGCAAGGCGUUGUGGUUUGGAUGUGAGGUGUGCCCCAAAAGCUCACAUGUGAGACAAUGCAAGAAGGUUUAGAGGUGAAAUGAUUGGGUUAUGAGAGCCUCAUCCUGAACAGUGCAUUAAUCCCCUGAUAAGGGAUUAACUGGGUGGUAACUGUAGGCAGGUAGGGUGUGGCUGAAGGAGGUAGAUCUUUUGGGUGCCUUUGGGAUAUAUAUUUGUCCUUGGCAAGUGGAGUCUCUCUCUCUUCUUCUUUUGGUGGCCAUGUCUUGACCUGCUUUUCUCUGCAACACACUUCCG
rnacentral:lncRNA from 1 species